rnacentral:rRNA from 1 species
GACGAACGCUGGCGGCGUGCUUAACACAUGCAAGUCGAGCGAUGAACCUUUCAUGAAUUUUUCGGAAUGAUUGGAAGAGGAUUAGCGGCGGACGGGUGAGUAACGCGUGAGCAACCUGCCUUAAACAACGGGAUAGCCUCGGGAAACCGGGAUUAAUACCGUAUGAGACCCCGCCUUCACAUGCAGAAGAGGUUAAAGAUUUAUCGGUUUAAGAUGGGCUCGCGUCUGAUUAGCUAGUUGGUGAGAUAAAAGCCCACCAAGGGAACGAUCAGUAACCGGCUUGAGAGAGUGAACGGUCACAUUGGAACUGAGACACGGUCCAAACUCCUACGGGAGGCAACAGUGGGGAAUAUUGCACAAUGGGGGAAACCCUGAUGCAGCGACGCCGCGUGAGCGAUGAAGGAAUUCGUUUCGUAAAGCUCUGUCCAAGGGGAAGAUAAUGACAGUACCCUUGGAGGAAGCCCCGGCUAAAUACGUGCCAGCCGCCGCCGUAA